UCCGGUUUGCCACCGGCAGUCUCGCAUGAGUCCCCGGCCGAACCGCUGGCAACAUGCGACGGGGGUUGCGCUCGUUGCGGGACUUAACCCAACAUCUCACGGCACGAGCUGACGACAGCCAUGCAGCACCUGUGCAGGCUCCCGAAGGAGCGCCGUGUUUCCACGGCUUCACCCUGCAUGUCAAGUCCUGGUAAGGUUCUUCGCGUUGCGUCGAAUUAAGCAACACGCUCCGCUGCUUGUGCGGGCCCCGUCAAUUCCUUUGAGUUUUAGCCUUGCGGCCGUACUCCCCAGGCGGGGCACUUAAUGCGUUAGCGACGGCGCGGAUCUCGUUGGUUGAGACCCACACCUAGUGCCCAACGUUUACGGCGUGGA
rnacentral:misc_RNA from 1 species